UACGAAGGGGGCUAGCGUUGUUCGGAAUCACUGGGCGUAAAGGGCGCGUAGGCGGCUUUAUAAGUCGGGGGUGAAAGCCUGUGGCUCAACCACAGAAUUGCCUUCGAUACUGUAGAGCUUGAGACCGGAAGAGGUAAGUGGAACUGCGAGUGUAGAGGUGAAAUUCGUAGAUAUUCGCAAGAACACCAGUGGCGAAGGCGGCUUACUGGUCCGGUUCUGACGCUGGAGGCGCGAAAGCGUGGGGAGCAAACAGG
rnacentral:rRNA from 1 species